CGAAUUUAGAAUUAAAAUAACCCAUCAAUAUUUUCUCAGAAACAUCUUUGCUAGACAUAAUUUUAAUGUUGUGAAAUAAUUAUUGGAAUAAUGAAAUAAUCCCCUAUACUAGGCACAUAAAUGUGCAGAAAAAAGAAAUAUUUACAAUAAAAUUUCAAAGAAGUUACUGUUACCACUAAUAAUCCGAUUCUCGAACAAGAACUUAAAUUUGG
rnacentral:misc_RNA from 1 species